rnacentral:rRNA from 1 species
UACGGAGGGUGCAAGCGUUAUCCGGAUUCACUGGGUUUAAAGGGUGCGUAGGCGGGUCUUUAAGUCAGGGGUGAAAUCCUGGAGCUCAACUCCAGAACUGCCUUUGAUACUGAAGAUCUUGAGUUCGGGAGAGGUGAGUGGAACUGCGAGUGUAGAGGUGAAAUUCGUAGAUAUUAGGAAGAACACCAGUGGCGAAGGCGGCUCACUGGUCCGGUACUGACGCUGAGGUGCGAAAGCGUGGGGAGCAAACAGG